AACAUUGAUUAAAAGGGAUUAUCUCAAUAUAUGUCGCACGUAUUCUUUCUGUUAAGUCUCGUACGGACUGACUAAGGCCGAUGUCGAGCGCUCACAUAAGACAAGACACACCUUGCUCAAAACGUCCAGCGACUCGACUUAGCACAAUGAUCAUCCGGUGGAGCACACUUUCCUCAGUUCAGCUUGCAUCUGAGGACAACAAAUCCAGCAAGAUGGACUGUAUGCACCUUGGGCGGGCUCUCAGCGCUAGAAUUAGAAAAAUUUCCGAUUUUAAAGUUACGAGCUGAAGGGAUUGGCCAAAACUAAAUACGGAAAUGUUCAUGUGGCCGACCUGGACUACCAAGGAGCUACAAUGAGAAACUUCAGAGUUUCUUCAAGUAAUAUACUUGACCGUAUCUCAGAUUUUCGUGUCAUACCACAAGGUUUUUCGGAUCAUCUUCCUAUCUCUUUCUCUUUAUCUGCAGGAGUCCUGUCUGAACCAUAUUCAGGUUUGCCUUUCUUCCUCAACUUAGAUGGAUUGAAAUUUACUCAGAGAACUAUAAACGAAAAGUUAUUUUCCUUUCAAUAGAACUUCCUACCCCCUCUCCCCACAGCCCUGAGGGUUUUCUCUCAGGAUCUCCUUCUUGGGGUCUCGCUGUCCGAUUCUGUUCGCCCUGUUCCUUGACGACCUUCCAUCCGUUUUUGAUUAUGGUGUGAGAAUAGGCGAUGUUGCAAUAAAAAUUCUACUUUCUGCGGACGACAUAGUUAGUUAUAAUGGCUGACUCCACGCAUGGUCUAUAAAAAAAAUAUAAAGCUAUUGGAGGCUUUUUGUUACCUGGAAUUUAACGGUGAACCUCAAAAAGUCUACGGUUAUGGUGUUCAGAAGAGGUGGUAGACAUAAGUCUUCGUACCGUUGGUAUUAUAAAGGGAAAUAAUAGAGGUGGUUAAUGAGUAUAAAUAUCUUGGUGUUCUUCUCUCCCCCAGAUUGCACUUGACGAAUCAUUUGCAGAAAAAAGUAUCAUUUACAA